GCACUUCUGAAGAGUCCCACAAUAGAACGAAACAGCCGUCUAGUAC
rnacentral:hammerhead_ribozyme from 1 species